rnacentral:rRNA from 1 species
GCUUGACUGUAGCUUGUAAUUGGGUUCGGGCUUUUUUUGCGCAGCCUAGGUGGGAGGCAACGAUGAUUUUUUCCGGAAAAAUUUAAGCCGUUAGUGAGAGACCACUCUGAAAAGGCUAGAAUCCUAAUAAUGAUCCUUGAAAUCAGGACAUUUGACAGUUGCAGGUGGGCAGUUUUACUGGGGCGGUAUUCUCCUAAAAAGUAACGGAGGGGUGCAAAGGUUCCCUCAGGCUGGACGGAAAUCAGCUUAAGAGUGUAAAGGCAAAAGGGAGCUUGACUGCAAGACCUACAAGUCGAGCAGGGGCGAAAGCCGGCCUUAGUGAUCCGACGGUACCAGCGUGGAAGGGCCGUCGCUCAACGGAUAAAAGUUA